GACGAACGCUGGCGGCGUGCUUAACACAUGCAAGUCGAACGGAAAGGCCCUGCUUUUGUUGGUUUCUCGAUUGGCGAACGCGUGAGUAACACGUGAGUAACCUCCCCUUGACUUUGUGAUAUCUUCACGAAACUGCGGAUAAUACCGGAUAGGAUCUCUUGCUGCAUGUGGGGGGUUGGAAAGUUUCGGCGGUUGGGGAUGUACUCGCGGCUUAUCAGCUUGUUGGUGGGGUAGUGGCUGACCGAGGCUUUGACGGGUAGCCGGCCUGAGAGGGUGACCGGCCACAUUGGGACUGAGAUACGGCCCAGACUCCUACGGGAGGCAGCAGUGGGGAAUAUUGCACAAUGGGCGGAAGCCUGAUGCAGCAACGCCGCGUGCGAGAUGACGGCCUUCGGGUUGUAAACCGCUUUCGCCUGUGACGAAGCGUGAGUGACGGUAAUGGGUAAAGAAGCACCGGCUAACUACGUG
rnacentral:rRNA from 1 species